GUGCAUUUGUGAGAUCUUGGACAUUUCUUCUUCACUCUUGGAGAAUGACAAGUUCUGAAAACGAACGUUUCCCCCGUCUCAUCAAUUAACCCUAUAAAUUCAGAUAGAUGUAUGGUGACUCCACGUUUGGAUGAACGUGACUGCCAUGUGCAAAGACGGGUACCAGGAAUGAUGGAAGGACAAUCUGAAGGUGAGACUGAACAUGGACAGAGUACAUGAGAAAACGGAGAGCCACCGGAGGAGAAUCAAGGGGACCAAGAGGUUCGACAUCUGGGCAAAUGACUUAGCUUGAAAGGAAGACGAGACCCGGGAAAGCUUAGUGCUUCUAGCUGGGGUCACCAUCCGUUAAGGUGAAUAUACAAAUCUCAGAUAACUAUUUUCAUUUGCCAUCUCGUGGUGUGCGGCAUCGCCAUGCUGUCAGCAGUACCAGACGUUUCUCCAAAUAUCAAUCUCAAGGCUAACUACUGGGUCACGCUGAGUAACCGCCACUUCCAGUGUACGAAAGACUGAUGAGAGUAAAUAUUAGUUAAUUAUAGGAGAGCUGUAUCUCCGGCCACCGGUGAUGUGGAGCAGAGCAUGCUGGGCGAUCUCUAACUGAGGAGUAGGAAGUAACGAGAGAGUACACAAGCCGGGAUAAAUUCCAGCCAUCUCAUGUGAUUACCUCCAGUUAGCAUUCUUUGUUUUAGCCAAGGCCAGUGGGUGUCCUUCAGAAAUCGUCAUUAAACAACCUCGACUGGCCUAUCAUCCGUGCCCUUACAAGCACCUGUCCUACGUAAAGUCCUCAACUACAACCAGGACCUAAGGGUUCUGCCCAACACCCAGACAUGGAUCCACCUGAUGUCCUCCAUUACCAACUGUUACGCCCCUGAAAACAGGGGAGAAAUAAUCACGAGAGUGAUACGGUGUUGUAUCCGCAAUUUUCCCCAGGAAUAUGGGUGGAGACCAGAGCAAUCGAUCUCCGGCUCAUAGAUUAAGAGCAUUUCGUAGAUCACAGAUUAACACUUUUAGGCACCACAAAAUAAAGUAAUCAAUAUAACGUUUACACAUUACUCUCAAAAUUCAUACCCUUUGACAGAUUUUAACUUUAACACAAUUAUAUGAAUGUUAUUAAUCUCUAUCAACUAAUACUGAAUGCAUCUUUUUAACCUUAGAUGUUUUAAGAUCCUCACAUACUAUGAAUUUACUAAUACUUUUUAAUGUAUAACAGGCUAUGAAUAUUUCCUUUAACCUGUCACACAACCACCCUCCAACUUUCCAUUACAUCAGCUACUGUUAUUGUCAUUAUCUGCUAAGAAAAAGCAAGUCAACUAUCAUACUGGGCUCAUUAUGUGAGAUACACAGAUUAUCUUAAUUAAAACACUAGCACUGCAAACACUCAGAACAAAGAGGGGAGCAGUGCCUGGACUUUGCAGUCUCCUUUGAGUCAACCUUCCAAGACUGACUACCUGUUGAAAACAAGUGACAGGCAGAACCUCCCAUCCACACAAUACCCACCUCCUCUAUUCCACACACCAGAAUUCAGUAUUUCAGUCUAUGAUUGCCAUGUGAGUGUACAAAAAAUAUAAAUGUACCAAUAAAAUAUUGCCAGAUUGUUUUUUA